rnacentral:rRNA from 1 species
CCUGGUGUAGCGGUGAAAUGCGCAGAUAUCAGGAGGAACACCGGUGGCGAAGGCGGAUCUCUGGGCCGAUACUGACGCUGAGGAGCGAAAGCGUGGGGAGCGAACAGGAUUAGAUACCCUGGUAGUCCACGCCGUAAACGGUGGGCACUAGGUGUGGGCGACAUUCCACGUCGUCCGUGCCGCAGCUAACGCAUUAAGUGCCCCGCCUGGGGAGUACGGCCGCAAGGCUAAAACUCAAAGGAGUUGACGGGGGCCCGCACAAGCGGCGGAGCNUGUGGCUUAAUUCGACGCAACGCGAAGAACCUUACCAAGGCUUGACAUACACCGGAAACGGCCAGAGAUGGUCGCCCCCUUGUGGUCGGUGUACAGGUGGUGCAUGGCUGUCGUCAGCUCGUGUCGUGAGAUGUUGGGUUAAGUCCCGCAACGAGCGCAACCCUUGUCCCGUGUUGCCAGCAGGCCCUUGUGGUGCUGGGGACUCACGGGAGACCGCCGGGGUCAACUCGGAGGAAGGUGGGGACGACGUCAAGUCAUCAUGCCCCUUAUGUC